rnacentral:rRNA from 1 species
AGAGUUUGAUCAUGGCUCAGGACGAACGCUGGCGGCGUGCUUAACACAUGCAAGUCGAACGGAAAGGCCCUUCGGGGUACUCGAGUGGCGAACGGGUGAGUAACACGUGGGUGAUCUGCCCUGCACUUUGGGAUAAGCCUGGGAAACUGGGUCUAAUACCGAAUAGGACCACGCGCUUCAUGGUGUGUGGUGGAAAGCUUUUGCGGUGUGGGAUGGGCCCGCGGCCUAUCAGCUUGUUGGUGGGGUAAUGGCCUACCAAGGCGACGACGGGUAGCCGGCCUGAGAGGGUGACCGGCCACACUGGGACUGAGAUACGGCCCAGACUCCUACGGGAGGCAGCAGUGGGGAAUAUUGCACAAUGGGCGCAAGCCUGAUGCAGCGACGCCGCGUGAGGGAUGACGGCCUUCGGGUUGUAAACCUCUUUCAAUAGGGACGAAGCGCAAGUGACGGUACCUAUAGAAGAAGCACCGGCCAACUACGUGCCAGCCGCCGCGGUAAUUC